UAUACCUCUUCCAUGUACUGCAGUAGACGCUGAGAGAGGAGCUUGGCUCUUCUUGGAUGAGUUGCGAACGGGUGAGUAACGCGUAGGUAACCUGCCUUGUAGCGGGGGAUAACUAUUGGAAACGAUAGCUAAUACCGCAUAACAAUGGAUGACACAUGUCAUUUAUUUGAAAGGGGCAAUUGCUCCACUACAAGAUGGACCUGCGUUGUAUUAGCUAGUAGGUGAGGUAAUGGCUCACCUAGGCGACGAUACAUAGCCGACCUGAGAGGGUGAUCGGCCACACUGGGACUGAGACACGGCCCAGACUCCUACGGGAGGCAGCAGUAGGGAAUCUUCGGCAAUGGGGGCAACCCUGACCGAGCAACGCCGCGUGAGUGAAGAAGGUUUUCGGAUCGUAAAGCUCUGUUGUAAGUCAAGAACGGGUGUGAGAGUGGAAAGUUCACACUGUGACGGUAGCUUACCAGAAAGGGACGGCUAACUACGUGCCAGCAGCCGCGGUAAUACGUAGGUCCCGAGCGUUGUCCGGAUUUAUUGGGGCGUAAAGCGAGCGCAGGCGGUUUGAUAAGUCUGAAGUUAAAGGCUGUGGCUCAACCAUAGUUCGCUUUGGAAACUGUCAAACUUGAGUGCAGAAGGGGAGAGUGGAAAUUCCAUGUGUAGCGGUGAAAUGCGUAGAUAUAUGGAGGAACACCGGUGGCGAAAGCGGCUCUCUGGUCUGUAACUGACGCUGAGGCUCGAAAGCGUGGGGAGCGAACAGGAUUAGAUACCUGGUAGUCCACGCCGUAAACGAUGAGUGCUAGGUGUUGGAUCCUUUCCGGGAUUCAGUGCCGCAGCUAACGCAUUAAGCACUCCGCCUGGGGAGUACGACCGCAAGGUUGAAACUCAAAGGAAUUGACGGGGGCCCGCACAAGCGGUGGAGCAUGUGGUUUAAUUCGAAGCAACGCGAAGAACCUUACCAGGUCUUGACAUCCCGAUGCUAUUUCUAGAGAUAGAAAGUUACUUCGGUACAUCGGUGACAGGUGGUGCAUGGUUGUCGUCAGCUCGUGUCGUGAGAUGUUGGGUUAAGUCCCGCAACGAGCGCAACCCCUAUUGUUAGUUGCCAUCAUUCAGUUGGGCACUCUAGCGAGACUGCCGGUAAUAAACCGGAGGAAGGUGGGGAUGACGUCAAAUCAUCAUGCCCCUUAUGACCUGGGCUACACACGUGCUACAAUGGUUGGUACAACGAGUUGCGAGUCGGUGACGGCGAGCUAAUCUCUUAAAGCCAAUCUCAGUUCGGAUUGUAGGCUGCAACUCGCCUACAUGAAGUCGGAAUCGCUAGUAAUCGCGGAUCAGCACGCCGCGGUGAAUACGUUCCCGGGCCUUGUACACACCGCCCGUCACACCACGAGAGUUUGUAACACCCGAAGUCGGUGAGGUAACCUUUUGGAGCCAGCCGCCUAAGGUGGGACAGAUGAUGGGGUGAAGUCGAGUAGAGUAGCAAC
rnacentral:rRNA from 1 species